rnacentral:rRNA from 1 species
UACGGAGGGUGCAAGCGUUAUCCGGAUUCACUGGGUUUAAAGGGUGCGUAGGUGGGAUGGUAAGUCCGUGGUGAAAUCUCCAAGCUUAACUUGGAAACUGCCGUGGAUACUAUCAUUCUUGAAUCUCGUGGAGGUAAGCGGAAUAUGUCAUGUAGCGGUGAAAUGCUUAGAUAUGACAUAGAACACCAAUUGCGAAGGCAGCUUGCUACACUGUUAUUGACACUGAGGCACGAAAGCGUGGGGAUCAAACAGG